rnacentral:rRNA from 1 species
AUGAACUUAGCUUGCUAAGUUUGAUGGCGACCGGCGCACGGGUGAGUAACACGUAUCCAACCUGCCGAUGACUCGGGGAUAGCCUUUCGAAAGAAAGAUUAAUACCUGAUAGUAUGGUGAGAUUGCAUGAUAACACCAUUAAAGAUUUAUUGGUAAACGAUGGGGAUGCGUUCCAUUAGGUAGUAGGCGGGGUAACGGCCCACCAAGGCGACGAUCAGUAGCCGACCUGAGAGGGUGAACGGCCACACUGGAACUGAGACACGGUCCAGACUCC